ensembl:snRNA Gm24592 predicted gene, 24592
GUGCUCGCUUCAGCAGCACAUAUACUAAAAAAUUGGAACGAUACAGAGAUUAGCAUGGCCCCUGCGCAAGGAUGACAUGCAAAUUCGUGAAGCGUUUAAAAAAAAA